CAAGAAUUUGCUGAAAUUAUAUUCACCACCCGGUUUUUCCUGAAGUCAAACUGGUAGGAUUUUAUCCCGCUGAAGAGGAAGAUGCUACCUGUCAACAGAAAAUCACAUAAACCUUUUCAGAUCGCAAAAUAUAAAAGUGUGUCCAGUGCGGUAAACCCCACCCGUCUACCACCUAAACACGGCAGCGUCGACCCUUCGUGGGAUUCCAGGCCAGUCUUUUUGGAUGAGUUUGGGGAAGCCAGGGUCCAUCCGUCUCUUGCGCUCAUCAUACCUGAGGCUGAAAGGCGUGGGCCAGCACACCUCGGGGUCCAUCAAAGGGAAAGAAAUCUCCAUGAGCUACAACAGAAUGAAUUUACUUCUGCGGGCGAAGGAGAGGACUAUAUCAGCUUUGCCAUGGUUGACUUUGAUGAACUUCAGUGGUGUUGCGUCACUCCACAUCUUCAGAGCAGUUUGAAAGGACUUUUCCACAUCCUCUCUCUUCAUAUCCGGAGUGUAUUUGGCAAUCCUGCAUGCCAGUGACAAAAAUGGACCAACAAAAUGCUUUCCAGGGUAAAAGCUGAAGUUUUCCACAUCUGGAACGCCACACCUCGGCUCCCUCAUCACAUCAAGGGUGUGAGGGUCCAGGUGUCCCGUCUCUUGCAGACCAAAGAAGUUUUGCAUUUCUCUGGUCUUCUCCUC